rnacentral:rRNA from 1 species
CCUACGGGAGGCAGCAGUAAGGAAUAUUGGACAAUGCUCGCAAGAGUGAUCCAGCCAUGCCGCGUGCAGGAAGAAUGCCCUAUGGGUAGUAAACUGCUUUUGAACUAGAGAAAAUCCCAGUACGUGUACUGGGCUGAUAGUAUAGUUAGAAUAAGCAUCGGCUAACUUCGUGCCAGCAGCCGCGGUAAGACGAAGGAUGCAAGCGUUAUCCGGAUUCAUUGGGUUUAAAGGGAGCGUAGGUGGACUGAUAAGUCAGUGGUGAAAUCUCCGAGCUUAACUCGGAAAUUGCCAUUGAUACUGUUGGUCUUGAGUACAGUUGCUGUGGGCGGAAUAUGACAUGUAGUGGUGAAAUACAUAGAGAUGUCAUAGAACACCGAUUGCGAAGGCAGCUCACAAAGCUGUAACUGACACUGAGGCUCGAAAGUGCGGGGAUCAAACAGGAUUAGAUACCCUGGUAGUCCGCACCGUAAACGAUGAUUACUCGCUGCUAGGGGGCAACCUUUAGUGGCUUAGCGAAAGCGANAAGUAAUCCACCUGGGGAGUACGCCGGCAACGGUGAAACGUCAAAGGAAUUGACGGCGNGAGAGNGCGACGACGACGACGAGGGAGGAGG